rnacentral:rRNA from 1 species
UACGUAGGGGGCAAGCGUUGUCCGGAAUCAUUGGGCGUAAAGAGCGUGUAGGCGGCUUGGUAAGUCCGCUGUGAAAGUCCGGGGCUCAACCUCGGAUCGGCCGUGGCGACUCGUGGGCUGGAGCACUGUAGAGGCGGGUGGAAUUCCGGGUGUAGCGGUGGAAUGCGUAGAGAUCCGGAAGAACACCAGUGGCGAAGGCGGCCCGCUGGGCAGUGGCUGACGCUGAGGCGCGACAGCGUGGGGAGCAAACAGG